rnacentral:rRNA from 1 species
UGAAUACGAGAUGCUACGGCGUCGAAGCAGUGUAUGUCAGACUUCCAAGAAAAGCUCGCAAUGUCAUAAAUAAAGAAUGCCUGUACCAUAACCGACACAGGUGGGUAGGUAGAGUAUACUAAGGGGCGCGAGAUAACUCUCUCUAAGGAACUCGGCAAAAUAACUCCGUAACUUCGGGAGAAGGAGUGCCUUCUUUAAGAAGGUUGCAAUAACAAGAUCCAAGCAACUGUUUAUCAAAAACACAGGUCUCCGCUAAGUCGUAAGACGAUGUAUGGGGGCUGACGCCUGCCCAGUGCCAGAAGGUUAAAGAAGUUGGUUAGCUUUUGCGAAGCUGAUGACUGAAGCCCUGGUGAACGGCGGCCGUAACUAUAACGGUCCUAAGGUAGCGAAAUUCCUUGUCGGGUAAGUUCCGACCCGCACGAAAGGCGUAAUGAUUUGGAUACUGUCUCGGAGAGGGACUCGGUGAAAUAGACUUGUCUGUGAAGAUGCGGACUACCUGCACCAGGACAGAAAGACCCUAUGAAGCUUUACUGUAACUUGAAAUUGAAAUUGGACUUUAUUUGCGCAGUAUAGGUAGAAGGCGUUGAAAGUAAUCUUGCGGGAUUAGUGGAGCCAUCAGUGAGAUACCACUCCUAUAAUGUUAGAUUUCUAACUUUGGAUCAUGAUCUGGUCAAAGAACAGUUUCAGGCGGGCAGUUUGACUGGGGCGGUCGCCUCCCAAAUGGUAACGGAGGCGUACAAAGGUUUCCUCUGAACGGGUAGAAAUCGUAUCUAGAGUGUAAAGGCAUAAGGAAGCUUGACUGUGAGACCUACAAGUCGAGCAGGGACGAAAGUCGGUCUUAGUGAUCUGACGGUGCUGAGUGGAAAGGCCGUCACUCAACGGAUAAAAGUUACUCUAGGAUAACAGGCUGAUCUCCCCCAAGAGUUCACAUCGACGGGGAGGUUUGGCACCUCGAUGUCGGCUCAUCGCAUCCUGGGGCGGUAGUACGUCCCAAGGGUUGGGCUGUUCGCCCAUGAAAGCGGUACGCGAGCUGGGUUCAGAACGUCGUGAGACAGUUCGGUCCAUAUCCGGUGUAGGCGUUAGAAUAUUGAGAGGAGCCUUCUUUAGUACGAGAGGACCGAGAAGGACAUACCUCUGGUGUACCAGUUAUCGUGCCAACGGUAAACGCUGGGUAGCUAUGUAUGGAGAGGAUAACCGCUGAAAGCAUCUAAGUGGGAAGCCCACCUCAAGAUGAGUAUUCUC